AGUGAACGCUGGCGGUAGGCCUAACACAUGCAAGUCGAACGGCAGCACAGUAAGAGCUUGCUCUUACGGGUGGCGAGUGGCGGACGGGUGAGGAAUACAUCGGAAUCUACUUUUUCGUGGGGGAUAACGUAGGGAAACUUACGCUAAUACCGCAUACGACCUACGGGUGAAAGCAGGGGAUCUUCGGACCUUGCGCGAUUGAAUGAGCCGAUGGCGGAUUAGCUAGUUGGCGGGGUAAAGGCCCACCAAGGCGACGAUCCGUAGCUGGUCUGAGAGGACGAUCAGCCACACUGGAACUGAGACACGGUCCAGACUCCUACGGGAGGCAGCAGUGGGGAAUAUUGGACAAUGGGCGCAAGCCUGAUCCAGCAAUACCGCGUGGGUGAAGAAGGCCUUCGGGUUGUAAAGCCCUUUUGUUGGGAAAGAAAAGCAGCAGGUUAAUACCCCGCUGUUCUGACGGUACCCAAAGAAUAAGCACCGGCUAACUUCGUG
rnacentral:rRNA from 1 species